rnacentral:rRNA from 1 species
UACAGAGGAGCCAAGCGUUGUCCGGAUUGACUGGGCGUAAAGCGCACGCAGGCGGCACCGCGCGUGGGGUGUGAAAUCUGGCCGCUUAACGGCCAGGCGCCAUCCCAUACGGCGGAGCUGGAGUGAUGCAGAGGUCGAUGGAAUUGCCGGUGUAGUGGUGAAAUGCGUAGAGAUGUGGAGGAACACCGAUGGCGAAGGCAGCCCCCUGGGCUAACACUGACGCUCAUGCACGAAAGCGUGGGGAGCAAACAGG